AAUAUAAGAAUAAAAAGGCUGAACAGAUAAUAAUAUGAUGUGGGAAAAAUAGGUGUUUCAUUUUUUUUAUUCCUUUUUUAUAAUCUCAAAAAGACUGCUAAUUUGGUUAUAUGAAUUAAUGGCUCUUAAAGUUGUAUUUGGUGUUUUUAUAGUGGAGAAUUCAGAUAUAUGCUAGAGAUAGGGGAGAAAUUUCCCUAAUGUUUUCAUAUUGCCUUUUGCAUGGCUGUCAAGUUUGGCCUCAGUUAAAUCUGCUAUAUAAUAUGUGUGAUAGAGAAUCUGAAUGAUAUUCAAGACUCAUAGAUUGAAAUUCUAAUUUCCAGAUGCCAUAAUUUAGAGCUAAUGUCUCCCAUUAAGGUUUUUGUUUUAUCAAAAUAAUUCUACUUGGGAAAAGUGAAGGAACAAAAAAGCUCCCAUCAUACUGUCCCUUCCUUUCUUCCUUGAAACUUUGUUGUAAUACUUAAAUCCCAGCUGGUAACUGCCCUUCCAGUGGACUAAAUUCCGCCCUCAAGUACUCAGACAGGUCUCCCAUUGGGCCCAAUUCUGCUCUCCUCCUUCAGGCAAAAACUCCCUUUGAAUUUAAAGUCUCACUCAGGUACUAUACUAAUAGGCACCAUAGACACACAGAGAAAGGCAGUAAAGGGGAGUUUGUUGUGUAAGCAUUGCUGACUCAGGAUUCUGAGGUAUUGUACCAAAUAGUCUGUAAAGAAUUUUGGCAAUUAUAAAUUCUCCAUCAGAUAUUUACUAACUCAGAGAAUUUCUCAUGGAUCCUUUCUAUGCUGCUGAAUGUAACUUCUAUGAGUCAAGGUAACUGUCAAAUAUCCAAAGAUACUCUAGUUAUCAGAUUUUAAGAAGCCAGGGGUUCUCAACCUAGAAAGAAUACCAUCUGUCUGACAGUUUCAUGAUUAUUUACUCUAAAACAAUCAGAAUAAACAAGUGAAGGCAGAUUUCAAAAGUACUAAAUUUAUUUUUUUUAAAAAACCCAAGUUUUUCAAUUAAUGUUAGCAGAGAGUGAUAUUUUAAACCACCCUCAUUUCACUGAGGUGUUUGAUGAGUUAUGCAGCCAGGGCUGGCCUUAGGCAAAUUGGGCUUUAGGUCAUUUUUGUCUUCAGUUUCUUUCCUUUCCAGUGUUCUGCUCAGAAGCCUCCUUUUUCCUACAGUGUCUCGGAUUUCCGAAGGCCCCAGCCUAAUGGCUCACAAAUGCCUCCCACUCUCUAUCCUUUCCAUGUCUAAGAUUUUCUCUCUCCUACCUUUCUAUAUGACAUCUGCAUUGAGAGAAUGUCCUUCCAUUGAUAACCCAACAGAAUAAAAUACAGAUCGCAAAUGAAAAGGUGUUCUGGUGGAAGCAUCUUUUUAGGUAUCAUUCCCAGGGCCUAAAAUCAAGGCCUCAAAGAAGCUCUAAAGAGUUAUAGUUACGUGACAGUGAUAAUACGAUUAUGUUCCUAGUUCCUCAGGCACACUGAUGUCUUCCUUAUCUCAUACUGAGCCUUUUUGGAAUUUUCUCUGCUUGAAACACGGGGCUAUCCCCAUUUUACUCUACCAUUGUCCUCUGUACCUUUACCUUAUAGCCUAUUUGGCUGUAGAUUAUUGAAACCUAGCCUAAACUAGCUUAUGAAAGAGGUUUUGUUGGCUCACAAAAAUUGGAAGUGCAGGAAUGUUUUGGGCUUUAAGCACACGUAGAUCCAAGGAUGAGACUCUGUCAUUAGAAUACUUUCUCAUCGUCUUCCUAUCUCAGCUCUACAUUUCUCUCUUUGGGCUUCAUUCUUAGCCAGUCUCUUCCCAAAUUGUGAUAAAAAGGGCUCAAAGCAGUUCUGUUCUCAUAUUAUCUUCAUGGUUUUGUUCUUACUGCAAAGAGCAUGCCUCUUGCCAGAUAGCCCCCAUCACUGUGAAUAUGGAAAUAAGAUCCUCUCAUUGACUAGGGAUGAAUCCUGUGGUUACUCCCAUCACAGGUAGACAGAGGGAUCAGUUUACAAGAAUUCCUUGGAACAGAUUCACUUUAAAAAUGAACAAUUCUGUUAAUAGGAGAAGGGUGAAAGAAAAAACAUGUUGAAGAGGCAAAAUAUGACCAUUGCUGUCCACGAUAGAGCUUAUCUAAAGUUAUAAUUAUAUGUGGGUUUUGCUGUCUUCCUCACUACAGCUCUGUGAAUAACAGGGAUUUUUCGCUUCUGUAUACUAGUGCCUAUUAUAGUUUAUGAUUUGUAUUAGAGUCAGCAAAUAUUUGUAAUUGUCUCAUUUAAUCUUGACAACUUAAAUAGAUAUUUUCUCCAUUGUUAAAGAGAAAAUUGAGGCUCAGAGAGAUUAUGUAACCCAUCUAAAGUCAUACAGAUUAUGUAUUGUGACCCGAAAUAACAUACAGAUAUUUUAAAAAGUUACUAACGUCACUUUUUAAAGGUUGUAGGUAGUACAGAAACCUAUAUGGAUCUAGGAAUGUUCAUGUGUUUAGUGACUUUCAAGCUCUUUCAAUAUACUUAUUAUGAAGUGCUUAUGUUUCUUCAAGGCCCACUUAAAGUAUUUACACAGUUUAAAAUAUCAUUUUCUUUUGAAGUUAGUCAUAUUUUACAAUAAUAAUGUUAAUGUUUCAGAAAAGCUUUAGUAAAGGAAAAGAACUAAGGUAAUACUAGUCAGUUGCCUAUUUUGGGAACAAGUAACAUUAAACUAAUGUGUGCCUCCCCCUUUGAAAUCCUGGUGUCAAUAAAAUUUGAAGUGAUUAUGAGGGACAACCAAGGUGACCAGCAUGGACCUGCUGUUAGAAAUUAUAAAUUAUUUGAAUCUAUCAAAGCUGAAUAAAAAUGUUGUCCUUAAUACUAUGUAAUGGGCAGAAAGAUAAGGAAUCCUCAAACUCGUACAUGUAAUAGCUAAGCAAGCCGUUAAGCCAAAUGGAAACAUAUGUAGAAAGAAAUAAGGAGCCUACUAUCCAAGAAAAUUGCCUUUACAUACACUCCUGGGUAUUUUUGAGCCUGAGUAUUCAGGAGUUUAAAUUUAUGUAGUAUCUACUUGAAAAGCUGCGUAUUGACAGUAUGGGUGUGUAUUGAUGCAAACUCUUAGAUUAUAAAUCCAUUUCUGAUGCUCAAUUGUUUUGUAAUUUUUUAUGCUCUUAAAAUCACAUAAACCAUUCAGUUUAAGUACUUAACUGAUUUUUCUUUUAUGGUUCCUUACAACAAGCUGCGUGUCUGUUAAUAAUUAUUCACUUUACGUUCCACAUAUUUGUCAAAAUCCUGUCCAUGAUUGUUUAGAUUUUUAAUCCAGGUUGACUCCAUAACUAGUAUUUGAAGCCAUACAUAUUUUUAUUCCUACACAAAUAACUGUGGCUUUAAUGCCUCACCCACUACGUAGUCAGUCUUCUCAUGGAUUUUGUCAUCAUGGCAAAAGAGCUGUGUGAAAUUAUUAGCAAUUUUGCCCAGUCUCUUUUGGAAUGUUUGUUGUCCUUAGAGCCUCAGCAGGCGAAACCUCACAGUCUCCUUCAGCAACCUGUGCUUUCCUGAAAGAUUGGCUUUGACAAGCCUGCAGGGGUGAGAAAUAAUUUUGUGUGUGAGGGUUUGCACUUCAUGGGUGUCUCCUGAGUUUAUUACCAAGAGGAAAUGGAAAGAAAGCCAUUCUCACCCUUACCUUAAACCACACGAUUAUGUGACCAUAGUGCUGAAUGAUUCACUCAGCUUUGGGGAAAGUCUAUACUGAGCCCUCACUUAGAUAGAAACUGGUACCUGGCACUAAUCUGAUUGAGCAUAUUGAUAUAAAUAUCGGUAACCCCAAUAACUGGCUACCUUGUCUUUCCAGAACUUCUAAUUAUCUCUUGCAUCUUAUUUCUCUGUUUUGGGCUAUCAACUUACAUUCAAGUUAUGAGAAGGACUUGUUUGUCUCUGAUGCUAGUAUCUGCUUGCCAUCUGAUGGGCUGCGUCUCAGGAUGCUGUGUCCUGUGUCUUACUCCUCUUCAGAAAAGUCGUCAGAAAACACUGAGCUUAUUGGAAUUCUGUACAGUUGUUUAGUAUUCAAGAAGAGCUCUUUCCAGAGUAAUCUGCAAGCCACCCUGAUAUUUGUAAACACUGUCAUGCAGUCUUUCAAAAAUAAAGUGGUCAGGUUACCAAAGGGAAGAUAAAAUAACUAAAGGGGGAAAAUACAUAUUAAACAUUUGUUUAGGUACUAGUAAAUUUUUUUUCCCAAAGACAGCAGGCAAGUGAUGUUUACAUAUGCCAUGCUAUGGAAUAUACAGGUUGAAAGAUCCUCCAAUACUCUGUCAAAUGCUUUGAAAAAGUGAGCUGCCUAAGCUGAAGGCAGACAGAAUAUUUGAAGUAGACCACGAACUGAAAUGCCCCAGAAAUCUUUUAUCAAUUGGGCCUAUGUUCACUCUUGUAAUAAAGAAGCUUUUGGAGUUUAUAUGCCACAGUCUAAUAGGUGACUGUUUAAUGGGAUUUACAUUCACUCAAACAAAAUUAGGCUGGUAAAAGACAAUGCAACAUGCUGUAAUGUAAAUGGGACUGACGGCAGAAUUAAAUGUUUGUGGAAACAGGGCAGCAGACCUAUCAAGAGCUAAUUAGACAGAGAGUUCAGAGGCAGGCUUGGAAGUAAACAGUAUCAACAAAGAAAGAAGGAGAGCAAGAAUAGAGAGAAAAAAAGACCUUUUGUGCAGGGAAGAAAAGGAACUAUACAAAAGUUAUUUAAUUAGAAACUCAGAUGGAGUCUCUCCCAUGAGAAAAACUUAUAUUGUUAUCUGAGACUGUUCACGAUAUUAAGUUGAAUAAUAACUUUGAUAAAUUAUUGUGUGUCUAAGUAGUUCUUUGUUGUAAUUGGAUUUUGAAUAUUUGGCAUUAAUAGCAUUCUCUUAAAAUAGUAACUUUUCUAACUAUGUUCUCUCUAUGUAGAAAAAUUUUUUUGGAAGUUUAUCUUUGAAGUCCUAACACAAAGAAUAACAUUGAGACAAAGUAACAAGUUUGGGGCUUUAGUAAGGAAGGAUAAAGGAUAAAAAUGCCUAUAAACAUUACAGAUUCAAGGAAUGUCUGCGACUCAUGAUGGUUACAGCAUCUCCUGGAGCCUGUGUCCUCCAGUAAUGAAUGAGGGUGUUCACAUCACAUCACAGGAUGUUGUGAUGAUAAAGAGAAAUAUUGGAAAAAUAAAAUGAUUUCAAGAGUUCAAAGAGCCUGAUCUUUAUUAACAACUGUCACUGAUAUUUGGGAGAUGGGUCCUAGUCCCUGCUCUGUCACUGUGUCACUUUGUAACCAAGUUUACAAUCACUUUAGCUUUCCCUAACCCUAUAAAAUGAGGGAUUGGAAAAAAAUUACCUCUGAGGUCCAGCCAGGCUAAUCUUUAUAUGGACAACAUUGCAUUAUGCAGCAUAGUCCAAAUGGGAGAAUAGUCUACCUUAGGGUUAUUUAGUGACUAUCAGAGAACAUUAUGAUAACUGAGAGUUUGGCUAUUUUCUUACAUGUAACUUCUAAAUAAUCAAAUUAUUCAUUGGAGUGCUGGGUAUGACAUCAAAUUAUUUAAAAUAUAUUUUUACACCAUGGCACAAUUGCACACACACACACACACACACACACACACACACACAUAUAUAUAUAUAUAUAUAUGAUUUUUUGGUUUUUUAGACCUCUAGUUUUGUAAAUUCAUCAUGUGCUUAAUGGCAUAGGCUUGGUAGUCUGGGUUAGACAAUCGAUUAUAAUGUAGCACUUUACAACACAUUAAAGCAGGGUUGCACAAAAUACCCUUGUUACUAUUUUGAAAGGUGAAUAGGCCUAAAAUUCUACUAUGUCACACAUAUAGGCAUAGAAUUUUAUAUGAACAGAAAGAUGCUGUUUGGUAAGUGAUGAAAAAAUGAUACACUAAUUUAAGCUCCGUGGUAUUUAAUGAAUCACAUAAUGUGCCACAGAGACUUCAGGGCUUCAAAUGCAGAAAUCUUCUGGAAACAAUGCACUGCCUUGUGAGGAGAGAACAAGAUGGCAAAGAGCUGAAAGAAACUGGAGUGACCCAGAUGGCUGGAACACGGGGACUUUGAGCCAGGGAUAUAAAUGCAAUGGGUAAGCCUGGCUAAUACAAAUAAAAAGUUUGAAAAAUGCAUGAUUACAGAGGAAUCAGUGGUGAGAUGGAUGAUUUCCAUUUCCAAAAUGUAUCUAUUUGACUGGGUGUGACAUUAGCUUAGAAGGAGGUCUUUUAGUCUGAUAAAAUUUUUCAUCUUUAGAGAAAAAUUUUCACCCAUCGCAUGCCUUUUUAAACUAUACACAAAUUCCUACAUCUCACUAUUACAUUUUACAAAUAAAGUAAUUCUCAUACUGCUUUAAAUAUUAUGGAAAGAGGGAGGCAAAUUCAUCAGGAUCUUUAAAAGAAAAUCAAUUAAAUUAUAUUAAUGAAACUAGUAAACUAAUUAGAGUGGGCAGAAGAGAAAAUUGAGAUCUAUGACCCUUUCAAAUGACUUUCAAAAGUGUAACUACGCUUUUUAGAACAAGAAAAAUGAGGGGCCAUUGAUACUACUUAGGGGGAAUGGGAAGAGCAGUUUCAGUAAUUCAUUCCUAGAGAUUGUGAUUUGUUUUUCCCCCAUUUUCCUUCCUCAAUUUCAUUGAGCGGCAAAAAAUGCAGAGUAAGGAGAGUACAGAAUCAAGUGUGUUAAGCCGAUUGAUCCAGUUCUGAUCCUUUUGAUCAUGAGAAAGUCGCUUACCUUCUCUUGUCCUCAGUUUCAGAUACCUUCAAUAAAAGCUUUGAGCGAGAUUUCCAGGGCCCCUCCUAGUUCUCACGGUGUGUUUCCCAGUCUUCAGUCCAUCUUUAAUUCCAUUCAGUAUGCUUUCACUGCAUGUUCUACAUGUUUUUCCACUGUGAUUUCUUCUCUAUAACAUCUAAUUCCAUUAUAGUGGAAUCAACUUUGGGGUGAAUAAAUUUGUCUGACUGCACCAUUGCAGAUGGAAAAUGUUGCCCACUUCUGAAAAAAAUGUGUAGGAGGCAUUUAAGACAUCUUUGGGAACAGCUGCUUUUAAAGUUUAAAAAUUGAUUGGUCAAACUUUGGCCUAAUUUAUUAUUAAAAAUUUAAGAUAUUGAAUACUGAUUUUUUUCACACUUGUCAUUGGGGAAAACUUUUAUGAUUCACUUCAAUCUUUAUUAACCUUCCAACAUGUGUUAAAGAUUUUUGUUUUCUUUCUCUCACACAUUUGUAGUGAAUUAACCGUUCCAAGGGAAUACCAGGUGCCCUGAUGCAAGCUACCUGGUUUUGACAGAAUUGGUUUUCAGGUCUUAUCUUAACGGUAUGUUGCUUGCUAUAGGAACAAAUUAAUGAUUAUGUCUUACGAGCAAAAAUUGCCUAUAUAUCUAACAACUACUACUUUUAUGAGAGCAAACUGGAUGGCUAGUAUUCAAACAGGUAAUGAGGUACCUCCUUUCCUUGUUUGUUCAGUCUGUGUUGUCAUCACAUUGUGAUUUAGGAUCUUAUUUUAUUUUCAAUUUAUUUUCCAUCUUCUGAGACAGAUUUUUGAAUUCUUUUUGAGGAAAAUUUCUUUGUAGUGUAAUUCAAUUACAGAGACCAAAAUUAUUCUAAAUGUUGUUCGAUCUUUCUUAUAAGUGAAUGAGCUUUGUUAGAAGAAAUAAUUCUUUUCUAAAACUUUAGAUUAUAAUCAUAUUUCUCUUUUACAAUUAAACAUUUUCAGCGUAUUUAUGCAAGGACUUUUUGUAUUCUUUCCUAGAUUUAAGUAUUGUCCUUAAGUUAAGUACUCUUUCUAGAAACUAAUGACCUGUACUUUCAUGAGAUUUCAGUUUAAUUUUAAAAGGAAAAGUUGCAUUUCAACACAAUAAAAAUGUUGAAGUUUCACCAACUUUUGAAAGAAAAGUAAACCUCUUACAUUGGCAUAUUUUUUGAAGGAAGAAGAUCCCACAGGUCCUUUGGUUAAUUGGAAAAGCAAAAGUUAUGAAAUUAUUCUGAAGACAAAGAGAAAAGAUAGUAGGAUGAGGAGGAACAGAAAUAAGAUAUGAUGGCCGUUGAAUUAGCCUUUAAGUCAUUAUGGACACUUAUUGCUGUGAUGAUGAUAAUUAUGGGGUAAAUGUGCAGCUGAUUUUCUUUAAUGAAAUAGGAUCAUUAAGUUACAGAAUUGUGGAAUAUAAACCAUAUCUCCCCUUUCACCCUCUCCUAACAUUCCAUUGCAAAUAGAAACCGGCAACGUUCUAUUAGUAUUUGCAUGAAGCUUUAAUAUUUUCCUUAUGGAAUCUUAAUAAUUCAAAUAAGGAAAUUUAAAUGGAGAUCUGACACACUUAGGUAAGUUCAGCAGCAAACAUAAAUCUGCUAUUUUAUGGAUUCCUAAAUUAUUAUCUGCAAAAGUUCUAGAAAGCAAGAGAAAUUCAAUUCAAAUGGAGACGUUCAGUGUAGAGAAAUUCUAUUAAUUCUCCCACUCUCUUCUACUUUCACAACUCAUUGUUAUUUAUACCAGAUUUAUUUAAUAAUCAAGUUAGGUUGCAUUAAAAUGUACACAAAUUCACAUUAAAUGAGCAGUGUUUAAUUAUUCUGAUAUACUUAAUUUCAAAAUCCUUUUCCCUCAAAGGUGUGAAUUUUAUAAUCAGCAGUGUACAAGCAACGGAAUCUAUGACCCUGAAGUAUAGUUGUGUCCUGUACCUCUGAUAUAGAUCCAGGAUAGAGCUCCAGAACUCCAACAAACAUUGUGUGAUUAAAGAGUGUGAAUGUUAACUGCGUUUUUAAAAUGACCAAUUAUGCUAGAAAGUAAGGCAAGUCAAAUUCUUUUCAAAUAUUUAUAUGUUCAUUUUAGUAGUUCAGACUUUUUUUUAAAGUAAAGAUUGCUUUCCUACUCUCAUUCUCAAAUAAUAGCUGCCAGACGUAUGUAACUUUUAGUACUGUAGCUUUAAGGUCUAGUGAAAGACUAAAAAGAUUAUUUUGUGUGACCUGCUGACUUCAGCUAGUCUGUGCUUUUGCACAGAAGAGUAUCAAAUAUGAAAUGAUAGAGAAGCAGAACUUCAAUGUACAAAGCCGUUUGGGUUCUGAUGUGGUCUAAAAUCAAUCAGGGCUACUUGACCCAAUGUGGUUUUUCUAUCGGAAACUCCAAAGUGGUGCCGCUUUUCCUCCUCGCUGAAAAGACCAUAAGGCUUUCAUUGUAUACAGAUAGAGUUUAUCCAUCCAUCUCCGUUUUAGCAGAAGUAUAAAUUCAAUUAUGUUUGAUAAAGUUAAAAAAGAAAUCUUCAAAUUGUACAUUACAUAAAAAUAAAAUAAAGGACUCUUGUGCUGACUAGCUGGCCCGUGAACAGAAAUAAAAUGUCACUUACAUUAUGGCAAUUUCUACAGAUUGCAGCUACCAAUAUUUUAUUUGGUACAUUUUAUAUGGAAGUAAGGUAAACAAAAUUCCAGCAAAAAACAAACCACUUUGUUUUCCUCCAUAUUUCUUGUUGAAAUAUUUGAAGUACAAAAUUGGUUAUGGCCUAAAAAGUCUUGUCGUAUUUAAUAACACUAGUGGCAACUGUGGAAGAGGUCUGACAUUUUUAAAAAUAAACGAUCAAGAGCAGUUCAUUGUGCUACUAAUUUUAUUACAAUGAAGUCCUUAGUGAAGAAUCACCAUUAUCGGAUUUUUUAAUUUGUUACUAUUAAUUAUACAAUGAUUUAAAGUAAAAGUGUGUACCUCCCAAAAUCUAUUUGAAAGCAUGAUAGUCAUUGCUCUUCUGUUAAUUAAUUUCCACAAUUCAUUUAAUAAAUGCCCCUUAUUUCAUCAUUUGAAAGAUAUUUAUUAGGCACCUACCAUGUCCUGUUUUAGGUAUUGAGUCUACGGCUGUCAUAUUACAGUGAACGGGAAAGACAGGGACCUCAGCAUCCAGGGAGGGAAGGUCAGUGAUAAACGUGUCGGCAGUACACAAGAUAGUUCCAUAUAGGGUAAGUCUUUUUGAUGGGGUGACCAGGGAAGACCUCUGUGGAGGUGAUUUGUGAACUGAGACCUGAAGAACAGGAAGCCAGACAUGGAAAGAUCUGGUGAUUUUUUGGGGACCAAAAUAUUCCAGGCUCUACACUCAGCCCUAGGAAUACAAUGAUGAAAAUGAGGCAGUCCUUAAAGAACUCACAGUGAAUAUGUUUUGCUUAUUUUUUAGGGGGGCAAUAUCAUUUGGAAUUCAUUGUGGUCACAAAGUCUCAUUAGUUAACACAUUAAAAAUAUUGAAUGAAUGAAUUGGCAUCGGUUUAAAAUUGACAUUUAUUAUUACCUCUUCUCAUAUAUAUUGCUUAUUAACAUGACCUAUGAUUUUAUGUUUUACUUAUCAAGGAUGCUUAUGGUUCAUAGUACUGGAAAUACUUCUCUUGAUCUUUUCAGUUAAAGUAUAUUGCAUCCCACUGCACUUAAAUCUCUCUGCCAACUUAUUUCUAAUAUACCUCAUUCCCCUUAGCUUGCUGACUAUUCUCUCACGUGAUAAAUAACUCUGCCUUAUCAAGGUCAGUCAGAAAGGCCCCUUUUACAUAUCUCAUAAAUUUUAGCCAGGUGCCACUGAUGUGAGAUUAAUGUAAUGGCACCAUGGCAAGCACUCAGGCUUGUCUUAAUUAUGCUAGGGUUGCCGGUUCACCGUUUCUCUUCAUCUGUCUCCUGCUUUAGGGAACACUAAACACUAUGUCAUUAGAUUGUCUGUUCCACAACAUUGGCUCUUUGCAUUUACAAAGUCAUCAGAUGGCUUAUGACAUAGCUUUUCUAAGAAAUUAAAUUAAACAAAUAGUGAAAACAAAAUUUAGGGGUAAAUGCCUGAAAAAAGAAAAGGUUUCAAAUUGUGAUCAGAGGGGAAAAAAUUCCUCUAUGUUCCGUAGUGACUUUCCUCUGACCAGUGAGUUAGUUAGUCACCUGAUCACAGGGAUAAUUUUGACUCUGGGUGAUCUCAGGUGUGAAUAAUUACAAGGUUCCUUUAUUUUUAAGAAUGAAGGGUCUUAAUGGAUGCUGUUGGCUGUGAUCCAUGUGCACAUUCUCAGAACCUUUCUUCCAACGUCCCUUCCCUUUGAGAAUGACUAGUUUCCAGGGGGAAGCCAUCUCCAAGCCAUAUGUCCAACAUGGGUGUCUAAUUACCUCAUCUAUUUUUCUAAAGUCCCCAUCUACUUUCCAAAAAGCAUGCCAGCUUAGUCUGUUGUUGAAUUUGGGAAUAAAAACAGUUCAUUGACCUGGGUCUUCAAAUUUGGGAUGAUUUAUUUUAUUUCUGUUCUUCAGAUAUUAAUAUGCUUUUUAUAAGGGAACAGAUAUCUAAAGCAGCAUCUCCCCUUACUUUCUUAAUUCAAGUAAAAAUCCUUUUUGAAUGACUAGUAUGUUUUACUGGCUUUGCUCAUCUAUGAGGAGAUAUAUGAAUAA